rnacentral:misc_RNA from 1 species
CGCAGCCGCGGUAAUUCCAGCUCCAAUAGCGUAUAUUAAAGUUGUUGCAGUUAAAAAGCUCGUAGUUGAAUUUCGGGAUCAGUUGGUCGGUCGUGCCUCGGUACGUACUGGUCAAAUUGAUUCCUACCUUCUGACGAACCACGAUGUCAUUAAUUUGGUGUCGCGGGAAAUCAGGACUGUUACUUUGAAAAAAUUAGAGUGUUUAAAGCAGGCUCGCGCUUGAAUACAUUAGCAUGGAAUAAUGAAAUAGGACGUUUGAUUCUAUUUUGUUGGUCUCUAGGAUCGACGUAAUGAUUAAUAGGGAUAGUUGGGGGCAUUAGUAUUCAAUUGUCAGAGGUGAAAUUCUUGGAUUUAUUGAAGACUAACUACUGCGAAAGCAUUUGCCAAGGAUGUUUUCAUUAAUCAAGAACGAAAGUUAGGGGAUCGAAGACGAUCAGAUACCGUCGUAGUCUUAACCAUAAACUAUGCCGACUAGGGAUCGGAUGAUGUUAAUUUUUUCAAUGACUCAUUCGGCGCCUUA